GACGAACGCUGGCGGCGUGCUUAACACAUGCAAGUCGAACGGAAAGGCCUCUUUCGGGGGGUACUCGCGUGGCGCACGGGUGAGUAACACGUGAGUAACCUGCCCUUCUCUUUGAUAUAACUUCCGGACACUGUCGCUAAUCCCGGAUAGGAGCUCCUGCUGCAUGGUGGGGGUUGGAGAGUUUCGGGGGUUGGGUGUGGCCUCGCGCUUUAUCGGCUUGUUGGUGGGGUAGUGGUUUACCAAGGCCUUGCCGGGUAGACGGCCCGGGCGGGUGACCGGCCACACAGAGACUGGGGUGAGGCCCCGACUCGUACGGUACGCAGCAGUGGGGAAGAUUGAACAAGGGGUGGAGCCCUAGUGCAGCAACGCCGCGGGCCGGAGGACGGCCUUCGGGUUGGAAACCGAUUUUGCUCAUGACGAAGCUUUGUUUGACGGUAGUGGGUAAAGAAGCACCGGCUAACUACGUG
rnacentral:rRNA from 1 species